rnacentral:rRNA from 1 species
UAUACAUGCAAGUCGAGCGGACCGAAAAGAAGCUUGCUUCUAUUCGGUUAGCGGCGGACGGGUGAGUAACACGUGGGCAACCUGCCCGUAAGACUGGGAUAACUUCGGGAAACCGGAGCUAAUACCGGAUAACACGAAAGACCGCAUGGUCUUUCGUUGAAAGGCGGCGUAAGCUGUCACUUACGGAUGGGCCCGCGGCGCAUUAGCUAGUUGGUGAGGUAACGGCUCACCAAGGCGACGAUGCGUAGCCGACCUGAGAGGGUGAUCGGCCACACUGGGACUGAGACACAGCCCAGACUCCUACGGGAGGCAGCAGUAGGGAAUCUUCCGCAAUGGACGAAAGUCUGACGGAGCAACGCCGCGUGAGCGAAGAAGGUCUUCGGAUUGUAAAGCUCUGUUGUUAGGGAAGAACAAGUACCGCAGUAACUGGCGGUACCUUGACGGUACCUAACGAGAAAGCCACGGCUAACUACGUGCCAGCAGCCGCGGUAAUACGUAGGUGGCAAGCGUUGUCCGGAAUUAUUGGGCGUAAAGCGCGCGCAGGCGGUCCUUUAAGUCUGAUGUGAAAGCCCACGGCUCAACCGUGGAGGGUCAUUGGAAACUGGGGGACUUGAGCGCAGAAGAGGAGAGCGGAAUUCCACGUGUAGCGGUGAAAUGCGUAGAGA